rnacentral:rRNA from 1 species
UACAGAGGUCCCAAGCGUUGUUCGGAUUCACUGGGCGUAAAGGGUGCGUAGGCGGUCGGGUAAGUCUGAUGUGAAAUCUCACAGCCUAACUGUGAAACUGCAUUGGAUACUAUUCGGCUUGAGAGUUGGAGGGGGGACUGGAAUUCUUGGUGUAGCAGUGAAAUGCGUAGAUAUCAAGAGGAACACCAGUGGCGAAGGCGAGUCCCUGGACAACUUCUGACGCUGAGGCACGAAAGCUAGGGGAGCAAACAGG